rnacentral:rRNA from 1 species
CCAGGUUGAUUCUGCCUGACGUAGACGCUAUUCCCUAAGAUUAACCCAUGCAUGUUAUUGAUUUUUGAAAAAUGGACUGCUCAGUAAUACUCACUUUAUUUUAUGUAUACUUAUUAUAACUACGUUAAAGUGUAGAUAAAAUGUGUACAGUAAGAGUGAGACCUAUCAGCUAGUUGUUAAGGUAAUGGCUUAACAAGGCAGUGACGGGUAACGGUAUUACUUUGUAAUAUUCCGGAGAAGGAGCCUGAGAGACGGCUACUAAGUCUAAGGAUUGCAGCAGGGGCGAAACUUGACCUAUGGAUUUUAUCUGAGGCAGUUAUGGGAAGUAAUAUUAUAUUGUUUCAUAUUUUAAAAGUAUAUGAGGUGAUUAAUUGGAGGGCAAAUCAAGUGCCAGCAGCCGCGGUAAUACUUGUUCCAAGAGUGUGUAUGAUGAUUGAUGCAGUUAAAAAGUCCGUAGUUUAUUUUUAAGAAGCAAUAUGGGGUGUACUGUAUAGUUGGGAGAGAGAUGAAAUGUGACGACCCUGACUGGACGAACA